rnacentral:rRNA from 2 species
UGGGGAAUAUUGCACAAUGGGGGAAACCCUGAUGCAGCGACGCCGCGUGAGGGAAGAAGGUUUUCGGAUUGUAAACCUCUGUCCUUGGUGAAGAAGAUGACUGUAGCCAAGGAGGAAGCCACGGCUAACUACGUGCCAGCAGCCGCGGUAAUACGUAGGUGGCAAGCGUUGUCCGGAAUUACUGGGUGUAAAGGGAGCGUAGGCGGGAGUGCAAGUUGAAUGUGAAAUCUAUCGGCUCAACCGGUAGCUGCGUUCAAAACUGCACUUCUUGAGUGAAGUAGAGGCAGGCGGAAUUCCUAGUGUAGCGGUGAAAUGCGUAAAUAUUAGGAGGAACACCAGUGGCGAAGGCGGCCUGCUGGGCUUUAACUGACGCUGAGGCUCGAAAGCGUGGGUAGCAAACAGG